rnacentral:tRNA from 1 species
GCCGCUAUAGCUCAGUGGCUAGAGCGUUGGUCUCGUAAACCAAAGGUCGCGUGUUCGAAUCUCGUUGGCGGCA